ACGGCUCAGUAACACGUGGACAACCUACCCUUGGGUCUGGCAUAAUCCUGGGAAACUGGGUAUAAUUCCAGAUAGGUCACAGAUGCUGGAAUGCACUGUGGCCGAAAGCUCCGGCGCCCAAGGAUGGGUCUGCGGCCUAUCAGGGUUGUAGUGGGUGUAACGGACCUACUAGCCUACGACGGGUACGGGUUGUGAGAGCAAGAGCCCGGAGAUGGAUUCUGAGACACGAAUCCAGGCCCUACGGGGUGCAGCAGGCGCGAAAACUUUACAAUGCGGGAAACCGUGAUAAGGGAAUCUCGAGUGCCAGCAUAUAAUGUUGGCUGUCCAGAUGCCUAAAAAGCAUCUGUUAGCAAGGGCCGGGCAAGACCGGUGCCAGCCGCCGCGGUAACACCGGCGGCCCGAGUGGUAACCGCUUUUAUUGGGUCUAAAGGGUCUGUAGCCGGCCAAGUAAGUCCCUUGGGAAAUCUGGCAGCUUAACUGUCAGGCUGCUAGGGGAUACUGCUAGGCUUGGGACCGGGAGAGGUGAGAGGUACCUUGGGGGUAGGGGUGAAAUCUUGUGAUCCUCGGGGGACCACCAGUGGCGAAGGCGUCUCACCAGAACGGGUCCGACGGUAAGGGACGAAAGCUAGGGGCACGAACCGGAUUAGAUACCCGGGUAGUCCUAGCCGUAAACGAUGCUCGCUAGGUGUCAGUCACGGUGCGACCGUGAUUGGUGCCGUAGGGAAGCCGUGAAGCGAGCCACCUGGGAAGUAUGGCCGCAAGGCUGAAACUUAAAGGAAUUGGCGGGGGAGCAC
rnacentral:rRNA from 4 species